UAGCGUAUAUUAAAGUUGUUGUGGUUAAAAAGCUCGUAGUUGAACCUUGGGCCUGGCUGGCCGGUCCGCCUCACCGCGUGYACUGGUCCGGCCGGGCCUUUCCCUCUGUGGAACCCCAUGCCCUUCACUGGGUGUGGCGGGGAAACAGGACUUUUACUGUGAAAAAAUUAGAGUGCUCCAGGCAGGCCUAUGCUCGAAUACAUUAGCAUGGAAUAAUARAAUAGGACGUGYGGUUCUAUUUUGUUGGUUUCUAGGACCGCCGUAAUGAUUAAUAGGGACAGUCGGGGGCAUCAGUAUUCAAYUGUCASAGGUGAAAUUCUUGGAUUURUUGAAGACUAACUACUGCGAAAGCAUUUGCCAAGGAUGUUUUCAUUAAUCAGGAACGAAAGUUAGGGGAUCGAAGACGAUCAGAUACCGUCGUAGUCUUAACCAUAAACUAUGCCGACUAGGGAUCGGACGGUGUUAUUUUUUGAC
rnacentral:rRNA from 1 species